rnacentral:rRNA from 1 species
UGAGGAAUUUUGCGCAAUGGGGGCAACCCUGACGCAGCAACGCCGCGUGGGUGACGAAGGCCUUCGGGUCGUAAAGCCCUGUCGGGUGGGAAGAAGACCCUGAGGGGGGAAUACCCUCUUUUGGGGUGUGACGGUACCACCAGAGGAAGCACCGGCUAACUCCGUGCCAGCAGCCGCGGUAAUACGGAGGGUGCGAGCGUUAUUCGGAAUUACUGGGCGUAAAGCGCGUGCAGGCGGGGGGACAAGUCUGAUGUGAAAGCCCGGGGCUCAACCCCGGAAGUGCAUUGGAAACGG